GACGAACGCUGGCGGCGUGCCUAAUACAUGCAAGUCGAGCGGACAGAAGGGAGCUUGCUCCCGGAAGUUAGCGGCGGACGGGUGAGUAACACGUGGGCAACCUACCCUGAAGAUCGGGAUAACAUCGAGAAAUCGGUGCUAAUACCGGAUAAUCAUUUGAAGUGCAUGCUUCGAAUGUAAAAGAUGGCUCCGGCUAUCACUACGGGAUGGGCCCGCGGCGCAUUAGCAAGUUGGUAAGGUAAUGGCUUACCAAGGCAACGAUGCGUAGCCGACCUGAGAGGGUGAUCGGCGACACUGGGACUGAGACACGGCCCAGACUCCUACGGGAGGCAGCAGUAGGGAAUCUUCCGCAAUGGACGAAAGUCUGACGGAGCAACGCCGCGUGAGUGAUGAAGGUUUUCGGAUCGUAAAGCUCUGUUGUUAGGGAAGAACAAGUGCCGUUUGAAUAAGGCGGCACCUUGACGGUACCUAACCAGAAAGCCACGGCUAACUACGUGCCAGCCGCCGCAGUAACAC
rnacentral:rRNA from 1 species